AUACAUUUUCGGUCUUUUUGUUAUGAUCAAGUGUAGUAUAUGUUCAUCCUAUUAGUUUAAUCGGUUUAAUAUAUGUGGCCUAAUGAGUCACACAAUAUUAAAUUACUUUUUUGAGGCGAAGUGACUUCCUUAAUAGCUUGCAAUUGGACUUCUCAAAUGUUACCUAUGUGUUGCACUAUUGCAUAGGCUAUAUGGAACCCAC
rfam:Medicago truncatula strain A17 chromosome 8, whole genome shotgun sequence.